GGCCCCGCCCAUCUCCGCAGCCUUCCCGAGGCGCGAGGUGACGCUGCGCGAGAGACCCCACCCCCACCCCGCCCGCGGCAGGUGGAGGCGGGCCAGCCCGGGCGGGAGCGCAGGAAGCCGCCGCUGCCGGGCUGGGGAAGGGGCCGGGCCGGCCUCCAGCAGCAGCAGCAGCCCGCCGCCCCUCGCGCGGGAUCCCGGGAGCCAGGCCUCGGCCGCGCUACCAUGGCGGCUCUGCUGCUGCAGGACGAGGCGGAGGAAGCGGCGGGCGGCGGCGGCGGCACCGGCGACCUGGAGGUGAACCCUUUCGACGGGCUGCCCUUCUCCUCCCGCUACUACGAGCUGCUGAGCCGCCGCCGCCGCCUCCCCAUCUGGGCCGCCCGCUUCGCCUUCCUGGAGCAGCUGGAGAGCAGCGCCGGCCUCGUCCUGGUCUCGGGCGAGCCGGGCACCGGCAAGAGCACGCAGGUGCCCCAGUGGUGCGCAGAGCAAGCCCUCUCGGUGCAGUUUGCCCACGGCCGAGUGGUCUGCACCCAGCCUCAUAGUUUGGCAGCCCUCAGCCUGGCCCUGCGUGUGGCAGAUGAGAUGGACCUCAAUGUGGGCCACGAGGUGGGCUAUUGCGUGCCCCACGAGGACUGCUGCGUCUCAGAGACCCUGCUCAGGUUCUGCUUGGACGAAGUCCUGUUGCAAGAGAUGACCUCGGACCCCCUUCUGCGGCAGUACGGGGUGGUGGUGCUAGACGAAGCUCAGGAGCGCACGGUGGCCACGGAGCUGCUCCUGGGGCUGCUCAAGGACGUGCAGCACCAGCGCCCGGAUCUCCGCUUGGUGGUGGUGACCGAGCCUCUCCUGGAAGAGCAGCUGUGCCAGUUCUACCAGGAUGCCCCCGUGGUGAGGGUCCCGGGCCUUGGCCCCGCGCCACGCUUGACCUACAGAGACCCCCUCCCAGGGGGCCACGUGCCUGCUGCCUGCCAAGCCGUGCUGGAGCUUCAUCGACAAAAGGAACCUGGCGACGUAAUGGUCUUCAUGGCCAGUGAGCAGGAGAUCAAGGAGGUGUGCGAGGCCCUCCGAGCAGAGGCUGCGGUCCUAGAGGCCGGCCUGGGACCCCUGCUGGUGCUGCCUCUGCAUGCGGCUGUGGGGAGGGACAGCCAGAAGUUGUAUGAGGACAGCCUGGGUGAGCGGGCCCGCCGAGUCAUUGUCACCCACUGGCUGGCAGACGCAGCCUUCUCGGUGGGCAGCGUAAGGCACGUCAUCGAUACGGGGACGGAGCUACGCAACGUGUACAACCCCCGGAUCCGGGCUGCGUCACAGGAGUUGCGCCCCAUCAGCCGGAGGCAGGCAGAGGCCCGACGGCUCAGGGCUGCUGGCGCUCCUCCAGGGACCUGUUUGCGCCUCUAUUCAGAGGCCUGCUACGAGCAGAGGCUGCCGGCCGUCUCCCCCACUCACCUCAUGGAGGCCGACCUUCGCCGCCCCAUCCUGCUGCUCAAGAGGCUGGACAUUGCGGACGUGGGCCAGUGUGACUUUCUCGACAGGCCAGCCCCCGAGUCUUUGAUGCAGGCCCUGGAGGACCUGGACUAUCUGGCUGCCCUGGAUGAUGACGGGAACCUCUCCGAGGUGGGCAUCAUUAUGUCGGAGUUCCCUUUGGAUCCCCAGCUAGCCAAGGCCCUCCUGGCCUCCUGCGAGUUCGACUGCGUGGAGGAGAUGCUGACUCUGGCCGCCAUGCUGACUGCCUGGCCUUGUUUCCAGACUCCGGUGACACGCUGGGAGGACGCGGUGGUGGCGCGGCAGCAGGCUCUGCUCCACCCAGCCGGGGAUCACUUCACGCUCAUCAAUGUCUUCAAUGCGUUCCACCAGCAGAGCGACCCAGAAAGCUGGUGUCGGAAACACGCGGUCAGUGAGGCAGCCUUGCAGCUGGCCGGAGCGGUUCGGACAGAGCUCUUGGAUGUGAUGCAGCGGAUUGAGCUGCCGGUCUCCCCACCAGCCUUUGGCAGCGACAGCAACAUCCUGCAGCUGAAGCGAGCCCUCCUCACUGGCUUCUUCCUCAAGGUCGCCCGGGACAUCGACGGCUCAGGCAACUACCUGCUGCUGACCCACAAGCACUUGGCCCAGCUGCCCCCCAGCUGCUGCUAUCGACUGCGCCGCCCACCCCCACGGCCUCCCUCUUGGGUGCUCUACCACGAAUUCACUGUCUCCCAGGACAACUGCCUGAGGAUCGUCUCUGAGAUCCCGCCAGAAUUUGUGGCUGAACUGGCUCCCCAAUACUUCCUGAGCAAUUUGCCCCCCAGCGAGAGCCGGGACUUGCUGAUGGAGCUGCGGGGGAAGCUGGCGGAGGACGCCCCCCUCCCGGAUCAAGGGGAGAACCCCCAGACCCCCAAAGCGGCUGAGGAUGCGGGAGAUCCCUGUGUGCUGCAGUGACCCUGGCGGAAGAAGGGAAGAUGGCUGAGUUCAUGGCCGCUGCAGGCGCCCGGAGGCUUUGGAACUGCUGGGGGCUGCCCAGGUCUCCCCCAGGGCAUGGCUGAGGCCAUCUGCAUGCCUGCUAGGCUCCUGGGUAGAAGAGAGGGCAGGGCAGGACAGGGGAGCCCCAAACGGGCUGUUUUCAGGACCGCAUUUUAGCUGGGGAGGGAAGUAGGGGCUGCUUCCAUGUGGGCAGAGACAGCCGGCUGUGGAUCUCUUCUGGGGCCUGAUGGCCUUUUGGGGGGGGGGCACUCAGAGAGAAAGGCAUAAGACAGGUGGGCUGUCUUUGUUCACCUUGGCGAUCUGCUCUUCAAUUGGGUGCCUUGGCAAGCAGUGGGGUACCCCACUAGUCUGCUUUGGGGGGGCGGGUGCUGUAGAUCCUGGAGACCCCCUAGAUCCCUACCCACCCCAGAUUCUCCAAAGGGAUCCUUUCCCUUUUGAGCAGUUUGUAGAAGCGGAGGGUGGGGGCUUAUACUUCCUCCUCCCUUGGUUUUAGCUUCAGCGGGGGUCCCUGCUGACUAUCCAGAGUGUUUUGUGAACGGGGGAGGGGGGGAGCCUGGGGUACGGCUCUUGCCUUUUCUGUAUGUGCCUCAAAAGUGUUCCAUGUACCCCUCCCCCUGCCCGACUUGGGAACAGUGGGACCAGUGGAUAUAUGGAGAGUGUAGGGCAAAGGCCAGCAGGCUCUGUGGGGCCUGGCCUCCAUUGCUCUGCUGCUCUGGAUAAUCCUGCUUGUAGGAAUUAAAUUCUUUUAAACAUCCA